CUUAAUAAAGACCUAAAGAAGGGUUUUACAAAAAAAAAAAAAGUUUCUCUGUUCUAGGCUUCCGGUCUAGAACAAGUGUCACUUUCUCUAAUCCUUUUUUAGGACUGAGAAAAUUGUAUUUUGUGAGAUUAAGAGUUUAUAUAUUGUCUGAAAUGUUUCAAAGGGUAAUGUAGUUGUAAGAUUGGCAAGGGCUUGUUUAAAACAUACUGUUUUAAUAGUUAGGAAUACUGUGUUUUGUACAAGGUUUGCUUACCAUUAGUGGCUUGUUCUCACAGGAAUCUUUGUGAGUGCCUCUUGGAUACUUGUAAAAAAGCUGUAUCUCUCUGACAGUUUAAAUAAGCCCCAUCACCAUGAUCUUUGGCAUAGUAAUGAAGUACUGCUUACACAUUGCAAACUUAUUUUUUUCAAAGUAUCUAUAUAAAGCAACCCAUAGACAUAUAAGACAACACAGAGUUAUAUGCUAUAGAAUUAUUACAUUAAUAUUAAUAGAUUCAUUGCAUUAUUUCCCCACAGAAGCACAACUGACACCUCAAACUGGUCAUAUGAAAGUAAGGGGAAUCCAUGUCAUGAAGUGAUUUCAGUGCUGAUGGAACAGGGAGACUUACCUGAUACAGACUAUAUGUGUCUAAAUCCGGGGCUCCUUGAAUGCUUCAGAGCCAGUGACAAAUGAACUCUGGUCUGACCUUGUGAGGAUCCCAGGAUUUUGGCAACUUACGAAGCUGAAAGAUAAUGGUCUUAUUCACUGUGAAAAUACUUACUGUGAUUUGCUUAAAGGGCAAAUGUUUCCAGGGGCUGGAUAUGCCCCAUGACCGGUAACGUUUCUCCUUAGAGAUGCUGCAUCCAUUCCUGCAAGAAGCUACACAUGUGUAUGAAGUUCUGCUAUGCAUGAAUCCCACUACAGGCAAUGGAAAGUCUGCUGUGUAUUAGGUAAUUGCACAUGUGAAUUUACAGUGUUGGGAUCCUUUGUUUCUCAAUGGAAGCCUUGCCAUGCACCUAACAGCAGAGUAAGGAAAUGGAUUUGUAUUUUUUUACUCCUAGAAAAAAUGAAUUCCUUUCCCCUCCCAUGCUUUCUUCGCAGGAAAACUUAACUGAAUUUAGCAAGCUUACAGAAGCAUUUUUUCAUUUUAAUAUAGAUGUCUUAAAAGAUUAAUUUCUCCCUGAAGACAUUUGGGCAAGGUGGAGAGAGAGAUUGAUCAUUUCCAGAUGUUCUUUGCUGACAGGCAAAGAAAAAUUCUGCUUCAGGUUAACAUUUGUGAAUGUGUUUAAAGAAUAUACAUUUUGUAUGCAAAUUGCCAGGGAGAGCACAAGCCAGUGCAAAGGGGCUGAGAUGCCCAGAUUUGCAGCAUCAUAGCUGCUUUAAUAAGGUGGGGCUUGCCCCUGCUGACUGGCCUAAAAGCCUUGGGAGCAUCUCUUCCUGUAUCUCCUGUGGACAGGCAGGGGGAUUUGGAUGUGCUUUUCAGACAGAAACACCAAGGCCAUGUGCAGUGUGCUUUGAGGGAGACAGUUGACUCUGCAGUGCUUGCUGAAUCAGACAUAUUAAACUACAUAAUUCACUGUUUCUUUGAUGUUUUGGGUACAGUUUCUAAUGGGGUUCCUUAACAUUGCACACUAAGUGCUGGCAAGACUUGGCACAGCGAACAAGUAGUUUGGGGUUUCUGGGAAGUACCUCGAGUUAGAGAAGCAGGGGGAGCUGGUGUCUUACAUGUUACCUGAGUAGAGAGUCAGUCUGAUGGAGCAAUUGUGCACUGGCGUCCUGCUCACCCUGUGUUGUCCGACUUCCCGCAGGGCACAAGCAGCACUCCAGGGUCGGACCUGCAGUUGCUGCUGCUUUUGCCCUUGCACAAGCAAUUGAUGCUCACUCUCAUACUGACUCUCUUGCCUGGCAGUAGUGUCCAAUGACUACAACAGGAUUUCUUAAUGGUGAAAGAUGAGCAUCAACCAGUUCUGUAGGAGACCCUGGUGCCUAGGAAGAGCAGAUUCUCUUUCAGUUGGUUUUGAUCUCUAAGGCAACAGCAGCCACGGCACUGAGCAUGGGAAGUAACGGAGCUCAUGCCAGUCAGCAGCAAAGGAAAUGCCUCCUUGGGAAGCAGUCUUUCCUAACAUCCGUCUGUAACAACUGUUGUCCUUCUCAAAUGAUGUGUGGAACCAGAAACGCCACUGGAGACCAGGACGCCUUUGUAAUAUUCCUGGAAGCUCAGAGGAACCCCUGCAGGACUGGCUGAUGGUCCCUGUGCCAGAGCCUGGUGUCACCUCUGCCACCAGCUGGGCAGGAAGAGAUGCCACUAAGGACUAUGUGCCAUAGUUUGUGCAGCCACAGAAGACUAGCAGGACAUUACACCAAUACAUCACAUGAGGCAUGAUGAGAUAGAAUAGCUGACUAAUAUUUGGGUUAAAUAUUUAGAAAUUCUUCCUGACCACAUGACUGGUGAGGCUGUUGGAAUAAUAGAAGGACCAUACCAUAUGACUUGAGGUAUUUAAACCGAGAUUGAUUUGAAUAUGAGCAAAUGGAGGAGAUGUGUGAUUAAGGGAGCACAAAUGAGAAUCCAUCUUUUCACCUCCAUUUUCUUGGGUUCUAUUCUGUCUCCCAGGGGUGACUGAAUGUUAUGAUGGACAUUAAUAAUUAAAAGAAGCUUGAUGAUGCCACCUUCACGUCAGCUGCUGUCCUUUUGUCAUUCCUUGUUAUGACAGAAGUGGGUGAGUGCUGGGAGCAAGCUGUCAGCAGAUGGUAGGCAGCAACUCUGGCAAGUUUGCAAAUGAGGUACUUUCCCCGCUGCAGCCAGCAGGAUCAACUAUUAAUCUCCUUGCUGCACUGCUCUUUACAAGUCAAGAAAGCUCAUCAGGUCAAAACAUGUAGUCCAUACUGGCUGUAUGGAAAACUUUUUUCUCUGAUGAAACACAGUUCUAUUGAUAGGUGAACUCCAGGACAUGGAAAAAAACCUCCAUGAUUCCUUACCAUUAACUUCUCUGAUUGCUCCAUUUGAAGCACAUACAAUGGAGAGAAAGAAGAGAAUAUUUCACAUGAAAUUCCACAGAUCUCUCAGCAACCUGAGUUGAUAUCCUGUGUUUCUCUGGCUUUUCUUCCCCCCAGUUUAUUUGGCUUUGUAACAUACAGGAUAACUAUAAUGAAAUGAUCAUAUGUGCACGCAUAUAAAUUUUUUGAGGUAUAAAAUUAUUUAGCUUACGUAAAAGAGAAAAAUAGACUAGGUCCUUUCAACUUGAGAAAGUCAUGGCAGAUUUUGCAUACAGAAACAUCUGUUGCUUAAAAUUUAAGAUUACAAGAACACAUCUUUAAGGCAUCCUUGUGAUUAUCUUAAGUACUUUGAGCACAGCACACACUAUAUGCAAUUCUUAAAAAGGAUCAGUCUUCCAAUUUAAGGACCUUUCCACUUCUUUUUUUUAAUAUUGCUUUUCCUGUUACCACACUUAGAAGUCCUCUAUACUUGACUCUGACUUGAAACUCAGAAUUUUGAGAUUGAUGAUUUUAAAAAAAAUUUGCUAUUUUUAAUGGUAGAAAUGGAAGAAAGGAACUUUAAGAAAGUGGAUUCUCCUAAGAAGGUGCUCAUCAAAUGUGUUCCCCCAUUCUGGCAUUUUGUUGGCUGAUAGCAGGUAAUUGGAAGUCAUUCAAGAUAUCUUUAGAGUGUUGUAAGUUUUGCAGGAUUUUUAAUAAAUAAAUUUUGCAUAUGCAGCAGGUUUUAGGGCCCUGUGCAUAAUGGGAUUUAUGAUAGAUGUACUUUGCAACAGACCAGAGGUGGACAUAGGUGAGAGCUCUGCUUCUUCCUUGUCCUCCUGGGGCAGUCCUGGCUUAAAGAUAUGGGACAAAAUAGACAGAGAAAUGCUUAUGUAGUGAUUUCAUUUCCUUUACAGAGAAUCUCCUGAUGUUUUGAGCAAAAGUUUGAAUGUGUUUUUCUUUUGACCAAAUAUACUACAUUAUCUGUUGGUGUUUUCUCUCACUUCAACCAAGGUUGAGUGCCACCAAUCUGCUGGUUUUGUCUCCAUGUUAGAAGAAGUUAAUGGUGAUGAUGGUUGUGAUACUGACUAUUUUUACU